rnacentral:pre_miRNA from 1 species
CUGUAGGUCAAUUUGUCUUUAAGCAAGGAUAUAUUACUCUAAAAGAAAUGAAUCCUAAAUAGUUUUCCCUUUAAGUCAAGUGUCUUGU